rnacentral:rRNA from 1 species
CCUACGGGAGGCAGCAGUGGGGAAUAUUGGGCAAUGGGCGCAAGCCUGACCCAGCAACGCCGCGUGAAGGAAGAAGGCUUUCGGGUUGUAAACUUCUUUUAAGAGGGAAGAGAAGAAGACGGUACCUCUUGAAUAAGCCACGGCUAACUACGUGCCAGCAGCCGCGGUAAUACGUAGGUGGCAAGCGUUGUCCGGAUUUACUGGGUGUAAAGGGCGUGCAGCCGGGCUGACAAGUGAGAUGUGAAAUCUCGCGGCUCAACCGCGGAACUGCAUUGGGAACUGUAGGUCUUGAGUGCCGGAGAGGUCAUCGGAAUUCGUUGUGUAGCGGUGAAAUGCGUAGAUAUAAGGAAGAACACCGAUGGCGAAGGCGGAUGACUGGACGGCAACUGACGGUGAGGCGCGAAAGCGUGGGGAGCGAACAGGAUUAGAUACCCCAGUAGUC